AAAACGGCUCUUUUCAGAGCCACAACAAUGUAUUCCACGUAAAAGAGU
rfam:Aedes aegypti strain Liverpool supercont1.1578 genomic scaffold, whole genome shotgun sequence.